rnacentral:piRNA from 1 species
UCGGGCUAAUCCAUAAUCUAC